rnacentral:rRNA from 1 species
ACAUCGAGUGAUACUCAUAUUGGGUGUCUGUCCUUCCGUCUAAAAAACGGGAGUUAGCAAGGGCCGGGCAAGACCGGUGCCAGCCGCCGCGGUAAUACCGGCGGCUCGAGUGGUGGCCGAUAUUAUUGAGUCUAAAGGGUCCGUAGCCGGCUUGGCAAGUCUCUUGGGAAAUCCGGCGGCUUAACCGUCGGUCGUCCGGGAGAUACUACUUUGCUUGGGACUGGGAGAGGCGUGAGGUACUCAGGGGGUAGGAGUGAAAUCCUGUAAUCCUUUGGGGACCACCGGUGGCGAAGGCGUCCCGCCAGAACAGGUCCGACGGUGAGGGACGAAAGCUAGGGGCACGAACCGGAUUAGAUACCCGGGUAGUCCUAGCCGUAAACGAUGCUCGCUAGGUGUCACGACAAUCGUGAAUUGUCGUGGUGCCGUAGGGAAGCCGUGAAGCGAGCCACUUGGGAAGUACGACCGCAAGGUUGAAACUUAA